GAUGAACGCUGGCGGCGUGCUUAACACAUGCAAGUCGAACGGAAAGGCUCCUGCUUGCAGGGGCACUCGAGUGGCGAACGGGUGAGUAACACGUGGGUGAUCUGCCCUGCACUUCGGGAUAAGCCUGGGAAACUGGGUCUAAUACCGGAUAGGACCAUCGUUUAGUGUCGGUGGUGGAAAGUUUUUUCGGUGUGGGAUGAGCUCGCGGCCUACCAGCUUGUUGGUGGGGUAAUGGCCUACCAAGGCGUCGACGGGUAGCCGGCCUGAGAGGGUGUACGGCCACAUUGGGACUGAGAUACGGCCCAGACUCCUACGGGAGGCAGAAGUGGGGAAUAUUGCACAAUGGGCGCAAGCCUGAUGCAGCGACGCCGCGUGGGGGAUGACGGCCUUCGGGUUGUAAACUCCUUUCGCCAGGGACGAAGCGAAAGUGACGGUACCUGGAUAAGAAGCACCGGCUAACUACGUG
rnacentral:rRNA from 1 species